rnacentral:lncRNA from 1 species
GUUCUGGUUAAUAUAAAUAAGAAGAUGUAGUAUGAUUGCCAAUGAGACAACUAUCCACAAAAGACCAAAAUAACACAGACAUUGACAACUAUAGGUCAUCGUACGGCCUUCAACCAAAGCCCAUACUGCAUAGUGAGCUAUAAAAGGCCCCGAUAAGAUCAUGUAAAACAAUUCAAACGAGAAAACUAACGGCCUUAUUUAUGUAAAAAAAAAUGAACGAAAAACAAAUAUGUAACGCAUAAACAAACGACAACCACUGAAU